GCGUGGAUGAUGCGGCUGAUUCUUGCCCAGGGAGCUGGGGCAGAGAUUUUUUUCUUUCAGCAUGAUUUCAGGUAUGUACAGCCCGAUUCUGCUCUGACAUUUGUUGCAUGAAAGGAGGGAGGAGGGCACAGGCACCUGAGUCCCAUAAUAGUGGGCCAACCUCCUUGCCAUAUCCAUCGGACGGACCAGAUUUCAAAGCCUGGUACCCUCUUCUUCAGGGAUGAUACGAAAUGUCAGAUUUUUCAUACUUGCUAGCUUACUUCAUUUACUCACUGAGCAAGUGGCUAUUGGGCAUCUUAUCUUCUCCAUUCCGGUCCUGGAUUCAGUGCUGAGGACACCAUAGUGACCAAGAGCUUAAUAUUCCCUGCUCUCCUGUGACCUGUGAUGAGUGCAAAAGGCAGGCAGUAAGCCAACAACCACAGAAAUAAACAUAUCAUUGAAAACUAGCUGAGGACUGGU